GUGUCAGCAGCCGCGGUAAUACGGAGGGAGCUAGCGUUGUUCGGAAUUACUGGGCGUAAAGCGCACGUAGGCGGCGAUUCAAGUCAGAGGUGAAAGCCCGGGGCUCAACCCCGGAACUGCCUUUGAAACUAGAUCGCUAGAAUCCUGGAGAGGCGGGUGGAAUUCCGAGUGUAGAGGUGAAAUUCGUAGAUAUUCGGAAGAACACCAGUGGCGAAGGCGGCCCGCUGGACAGGUAUUGACGCUGAGGUGCGAAAGCGUGGGGAGCAAACAGGAUUAGAAACCCCCGUAGUCC
rnacentral:rRNA from 1 species